rnacentral:rRNA from 1 species
GAUGAACGCUAGCUACAGGCUUAACACAUGCAAGUCGAGGGACCGGCGCGCGGGUGAGUAACACGUAUCCAACCUGCCCUUUACUCGGGGAUCGCCUUUCGAAAGAAAGAAUAAUACCCGAUGUAAAGGAUGGGGAUGCGUUCCAUUAGGUUGGUGGUGAGGUAACGGCCCACCAAGCCUUCGAUGGAUAGGGGUUCUGAGAGGAAGGUCCCCCACAUUGGAACUGGGACCCGGUCCAAACUCCUACGGGCGGCAGCAGUGAGGAAUAUUGGUCAAUGGGCGUUAGACUGAACCAGCCAAGUAGCGUGAAGGAUGAAGGCUUAUGGGUCGUAAACUUCUUUUAUAUAAGAAUAUGUAUUAUAUGAAUAAGGAUCGGCUAACUCCGUGCCAGCAGCCGCGGUAAUUC